AGGAAAUUAUGAGAAUUAGCUGAAAGGAGUGACAUUUGGCUUAAAAAUAACCAUUUAAAGAACAAAUAGAUUACUGUAUACUGUAGGCCUAACAGGCACUUUUAUGUUAUGAAAAACAAAACAAAUUAUUAACAGCUUAAAAUGACUUAAUUAUUUGAAAAAUAAAUGGCUUUGUAAAAUGUCAAAUGACAAAAUUCUAAACAAAACUUAGCAAAAAAAUGAACAAAUAAUGUUUCAACUGAUUUGUGGGGAGGGGUUGAAAGAGCAUAACAAAAACAUUAAUUUAUAGAAUUAUUGACAUAUUCCAGAAGUUUCAAUAGCCUAUGGGUGUUUAUGUUUUCAGCUAUUUAUGUUGUAUUUUAGUCAAACAGAUAUGCAUUUCAGGGUGCAUUUCUUUUUCCGUCACUAUAAUUUCACUGCUUAAAGUGCAAAGAAGAAAUGCCCAGUUCCCAGUUUACAAACUGUGUGAACAGAUUUAUCAGAUCAUCUCUAGCCAGCGGAAAAGACCUAGCGCUACAGGAAAACAUGAGACUUCUGUCAGCUGCUGGUUACUUAGUGCUGCUUUCUUCCUUGUUCACACAUGGAGCAUUUGAAAGUAUGAAUCAGUUUGAAUCAGUCAAAGAUUCCCACUCAGACGCUUCUCUAGAAGUCCGGCCUGACAACAGACAACACCUCAUGGGGGGAAAUUUCACCCUUCGCUGCUCGGUAAAUGGUGGUAAUUCAACAGGCUGGAUACUGAGGAGGCAUCAAGGAGCUAAAAAUAUAUCUGGAUGUUUGCAGUUGAAUGGCAAAGAAUCUAAAGACAAGCCUGAAGAAUGUAAUUUCAUUGACAUUGACAGUAAGAACAGUGGACUUUACUGGUGUGAGAAUACUGCUGAAAACAAGACAAGCAACACCAUCAACAUCACCGUGGUCUAUGGUAAAAUGAUACUCUUGAGCACAGUUCACCCAGUGAUGAAAGAGAACUCCACAGCUGAUUCAGAAGAUGAAAAGCCAUAUACAGGAUCUUUGGUCUGGCUGUCAGGGCUCUGUAUCAUCUUGUUUCUUCUGGUGCUUCUUCCUUUGCUCUGGCUGCUUAUUCCAGGUUUCAGGGAGAAAUUGUGUGUCUGUCCAAAUGGGGCAUUUAGAAGGGAAAGAGUCCAGCAGGAAAUGCCUAAAACCAAGCAGGAUGUGACUGAAAUCCAGUGGGAUCUUCCCUGGAUGGAGAUGGACAAUUUGUUGGACAAGUAACAAAAUUCUGGCAGCUGAACAUUCCACAUUCCAAAUGUGGACGUUAUCAGAUACACACUAUAUUUUUGAAGACAGAAAACAGUGACUGUGCUUUAUAUGACAUGCCCCCUGCCUGUCUGGAGAUCUGGCUUAACAGCAGACAGCACUUCAGGGGUGAGCACUUUUCCCUUCACUGCUCAGUAAAUGAUGCUAACUCAACAGGCUAGAUGCUGGGGAGGCUCCAUCCAGAUCAAUUAACAAUGAACUGUUGUAUAUUUAUAAAUUAUAAUUAACCAAGAUGAUAAAUGUUGUGAAAAAUGGUCAAUGGUAGUUCAUAAUACCUAAUGUGCUAACUAAUGUUGACUAAUUUAUCCUAUAUAUUGAUAUUUCAGAACUUCUACACACAAAUGCUGAGCAUUUCUCUGUACAGAGUAGACAAUGUAAAAUAAUGCACACAAAACAGAAAAAUACCUUGCAAUCCAAGAUGACCAUAGGUUAAAUGUCCACCCUGGUAGAUGGAAUGGCAUCCCUGUAAAGUGUGCUCAAAAGACAAUUCUGUAUUUUUAUUAUUUAUUUAUUUUAUUUUUUACAAAAUGGCAGUAGUGUGUCCCUGGAUAGGACCUUUUGUUUCAGUACAGUGGGAUUUCAGGCAUGUUUUACACAUUGUCACCAUCAUAGACACUGUUCUCCAGAGCAGCUCUUGGCAAAGGGGAAGUGAAACGAAAAUGUAAUCUCAAGUAAUGUUCCUGGAGCUGUCACCUCAAGGAUCGCACGUCCUGGUUUUUGUCUGGCCCAUCACAAACAGACUUUUAGUGUACAUGCUCCAGGCCUUGAAGGACCUGACAGAGAAGUACAUUUCUAUGCUAUACUUGGCUGGUUUACUAUGUACAGGAAACUGGAUUUGAAGUAAGUAUGUAAGUAAAUAAAUAAAUAAAAAUCAGAGCGAAUAAAAUCACCAAACAUAAAUAAAAGGAAACAUAGGAUAUAUACAAACAUACAUACAUAAACUGGAGCCAGUAUUAUCACCAAAAGUUUAAAUUAAUAAAUAAUUGUGACUGUGUUUGCUUAUUAAGCUGGGAUAUGAUGAUAAUGAUAUACAUUUCAGUUUUAACAUUUCUGUUACCAGGAGUCAAAUAUUUCCCAAAGUAACACUAGAGGGCAGCAUGUCUUCACAUUAUCCUAAUGUAUUUCUUGAACACCAAUUCGCCCAUUAUAUUAAAGUCAAAUCAAAUCAAAUGAAUAAAUAAAAUAACCCACUAUUUUUAAAAAAGAAAAACUAAAGAAUGCUAACCCUGAUGAUGUUAUUUGGAGAAAAUAUGUUUGUUUUGGUUUUAACAAAAUCAAAUAAAGGAUAGUGAAAAUUGAAAAUUCUUUGUUAGAGUCUGCAUUAUAUGCAUUCAUUAUAUUGUAGUUUAUAUAGUAGCUUAAUGAGUUCUGCAUUUUUUUUUAAAUAAUUUAAAUUUUUCUUUAGCUAUAAGGUAGGCCUACAGCAAUAUUUAGCAUUUGGCGCAAAAAAAGA